GGCGGAAUAGCUCAGUUGGCUAGAGCAUUCGGUUCAUACCCGACAGGUCAUGUGUUCAAGUCACAUUUCCGCCACCA
rnacentral:tRNA from 1 species